UAUCGAUGCAACAGGGCUUUUCUCUGUUUA
rnacentral:misc_RNA from 1 species